AUCAGAGGGAGUGCACACAAAGAGCAGGAGAUGAGGAAGAGGACAAGAGGACACAGGAGAGGUGAUUGAUGCCCCGUGAGAAGGUGAACGUGACAUAAACCCUCGUCAGCUGCAAAAAAGGAACCGCGAGACAGAAUAGCAUGCAGAUUACCGGCAUCGCUCUUGGAAUCACUGCCGCACAGAAGCACAAUGACAGAGCCUGGUGGUGGCAUCAGUGUCUGGAGACCAUAUAGUGACUGAAUGACAUAGCGUGGAGGUGUUGGCAGCAUGAGGACACCAUAUAGUGGAUGAAUGGCACAGCGUGGAGGUGUUGGCAGCAUGAGGACACCAUAUAGUGGAUGAAUGGCACAGCGUGGAGGUGUUGGCAGCAUGAGGACACCAUAUAGUGGCUGCAUGGCACAGCGUGGAGGUGUUGGCAG